rnacentral:rRNA from 1 species
UACGUAGGGGGCUAGCGUUGUCCGGAAUCAUUGGGCGUAAAGAGCGUGUAGGCGGCUAUUUAAGUCCUGCGUGAAAUCCUGCGGCUCAACCGCAGACGGUCGUGGGAAACUGGAUGGCUAGAGUGCGGGAGAGGAGAGUGGAAUUCCCGGUGUAGCGGUGAAAUGCGCAGAUAUCGGGAAGAACACCCGUGGCGAAGGCGGCUCUCUGGGACGGUACUGACGCUGAGACGCGAAAGCUAGGGGAGCAAACAGGG